AUGUAUUUAUUUUAUUCCUUUGCUAUCAAAUGUAAAUUAAGUAAUAACUUGCAUUUCUGAAGGACACUCAGCCAAAUAUGGCAGCUACACCAUGAUGGAUCUCAAAAGAAACAAAGUUAUUGAUAUCCAACUCGUACAGAGCAAUGAAGUUGGAAAUAGUGUGCGAAUGGAGAAGGAGGGAUUUGUGCGAAGUCUGAGCACACUUUUGGAGAGGGGGGUCGGUGUGCAGCAAGUUGUGACUGACCGCCACACAUGGGUGCAGAAGUAUUUGUGGGAGGAAAAAAGGAAAUCAGUCACUACUUUGACCCCUGGCACAUGGGAAAAGGUAAUCUUUGGGGAUGUAUAUAGUGAAUAUUACAGGAUUUUGUUUUUCUAUUUUAAAUGUGGGUCUAUUUGGCUCUCCGUGAAUUGGUAAGAAAAUCGAAGAGCUGGGGAAGAGAAAGAUGACCCUGGAUGCUAAACUGUGGAAGCAAAGUGUGGUGAACCACCUCUACUGGUCAGCAUCCCUCUUUAUUCCAGAUUGGUUCAGCAUUUACAUGCUAAUGUGGCGAUAUGUCACAGAGUGGUAAUGUUGUUCUUAUGUUUAAUGUUCUUAUGUUUUAUAUUGCAUGUUUUCUAAUUGAUUAGGUGCUUUUAGGUUGAUUUUUAACUGUUUGGGUGUUUUUAGUGAUUGCUGCAACAUUGCAUCCCAUCUGUGUUAAUCCUCCCCAAUUACCCACACCUGGGAGCGGGGUGUGGACUGAACUGGCAAACAAUGAACAGAGGCAGGGCGGGAGGUGAAUGGGCGGAGAGUUUUGUUUAUUUAAGGGAGCGGACAUGGAGACACGGAAACGUGAGGGGAAAGGAAAAUACUCGGCUGGAGCCAGACGGACACCGCGAGCUCCGCAAGGACUGGAAGGAGAUCCACUGGUGGCACGGACAGCAGCAGCAGCGGCAGGAGAAGCAGCAGCAACAGCGGGGAGAGAGAUCCGCGGCCAGAGACGCCAGGGCACAGGGCGCAACACGGCAGGCGGGCAGAGUUACUCUGCCUCCGCGCGUAAGUAAUUGAUCAGUGCCUGGCAGUGUUAGAGUUGCUCUCUCUCUGUAAGUGGUCUGGUGCCGGGGACCUAUUUACUGCCAGAGUUGUUGUGUGCCACAGGGGCCGGGCCGAGGAGGAGGCGGAUUGGAUCCACCGUGCGGCGAUCCUGUGGUUCCCAGACGAUGACGACGGCCUUGGAGGUUCCUUGGUCGAGAGCUCAGCAGGGCUGGACUGGACCGCCUUGUCCCUUGGGGCCCUGCGCACACUCGAUUGAACACUUUUUUUUUCCUUGGCGUCAUCAUCAGGGUUUUGUAAUAAAUGUCCCUUUUUAAUUUG